rnacentral:lncRNA from 1 species
AACAAGAAAUAUCUAGCUUCUCAUCAACCACAAAUAUAUUUAUGGUGGUCGGUGGAAAAUCAAUCUACAAGCCAAUUAAUUAGUAUGAAGAUGAUUUUAAUCUUGAUCAUCGUCAUCUUCAUAAUCCUCGUCUCUCUCCUCUGUAAUUGUCGCCAAUUUAGGCGAACAAGAGGGCUUUUCUUGGGAAACUAUAGGCGACGGUGAAACCUCAAUCCAAGGCUCAAUAUCCAUGAUUUUGUUAGCCACUGCCAUUACAAUUGAAUGAAAAAUAAACUCAACGUAACAAUGUCAGGAAUUUAAGUGAUCGAGGAAGAGAAAUCGCAUGCGGUAUAUUCUCUCUUUCUCUUUGUUUCGAUGAGAAAGAGAGGGUGGAAAAUGGAAAUCUAUGCAAAAAUUUGAUGCCAAAUUAAGAAGAGGUGUAUUAAUGAAAUGAAAAAUAUCAUUUGGGGUUUAUGUAUAUAUAGGGUUGGUAGCUUGUAGGAGGGAAAAAAUUAGCCAUGCAAAAAUAUUAAAUAUAGGGAGGAAAUCCUGAGGAGGGCAUUUAGCUAGACAUCCAAUUGGACAAUCUGAAAACUGGCUCACAAAUAAUAUAUAGAAAGCGGUACUACAUUUUUGUAGGAAAAUGAAUGGAGAACAAUGUGUAGAUUCCUAAAAUACCUCUGCUGGGCCUGGGGUGGAUAUAUUUAUGUAGGAAUUGGGCACAGCUCAA